GAUGAAGAACGCAGCGAAAUGCGAUACGUAAUGUGAAUUGCAGAAUUCAGUGAAUCAUCGAAUCUUUGAACGCACAUUGCGCCCGCCAGUAUUCUGGCGGGCAUGCCUGUUCGAGCGUCAUUUCAACCAUCAAGCCCCAGGCUUGUGUUGGAGCCCUGCGGCUGCCGCAGCCUCCCAAAACCAGUGGCGGGCUCGCUAUCACACCGAGUGCAGUAGUUUACUCUUCGCUCAGGGCGUGUGGCGGGUGCUAGCCGUAAAACCCCCAACUUCUCAAGGUUGACCUCGGAUCAGGUAGGAAUACCCGCUGAACUUAAGCAUAUCAAUAAGCGGAGGA
rnacentral:misc_RNA from 1 species